rnacentral:lncRNA from 1 species
CAAUAUGCCACCAGUUAACAUAUUGCAGCAGAGUCCAGGAGGAUUGGGCUAUUUGUUUAAAAGUGAAUUUAAUUCCUCAAAAAUUUAAAAAUAGAAUUACCAUAUGAUCCAGAAAUUUCUCUUCUGUGUAUAUAUCAAAAAGAAUUGAAAGCAGGAUCUCAAAGAGCUAUUUGGACACCUAUAUUCACUGCAGCAUUAUUCACAAUUGCCUGGGGAGGAAGCAGCCCAAAUGUCCAUGGGCAGAUGAGUGUGCAAAGCAAAUGUGCUAUGUACACACAAAAGAAUAUUAUGUGGGCUUAAAAAAGGAAAGCCUGUCACAGGGUACAAUAUGGAUGAAGCUGAGACAUUGUGCUGAGUGAAAUAAACCAGUUACAAAAAGACAACAAUUACUGAUGCCACUUGUGUGAAAUUAUCUCGAGUAGUCAAUGUCACGGAAGCAGAACAUAAAGUGGUGGCUGUCAGGCAGGGGCUGGGGGAGGGAGAACUACUAGAAAGUUAUUUCAUGGGUAUAGUGUCAGUUUUGCAAGACGAAAAAGAUUCAGAGUUUUGUUACACAAUGUGUAACACCAUUAAACUGCACCGUUUAACUUAUUAGGAGAGAAGCGUUCUGGAUUUUCAAACCUUCAGGCCUUAAGAAAUAAAAUUUUAUUUAUUUAUUUAUUUAUUUAUUUAUUUAUUUAUUUUUCAGACCGGGUCUCACCUUGUACCCCAGGCUGGCCUCGAACUCGCGGUGAUCCUCCUGCCUCAGCCUCCAGAGUGCUGAGAUUACAGGCGGGAGCCACCACGCCCAGCUCGAAAGAAACAUUUUUUAAACACCAUUAACACGGAAGCAGCUUGGGGUGCGGUAGAGAGUGGUGAAGUGCGGUCGGUGAGAAGAUGGAGCUGCAGCCAGGUCCCUCAGCCCAGCUGUGUGACCUCGCGGGUAGAGCGGAGAUCGCCAACCCCCGCAGAGUGCAGAGCCGGGGCAGAAGUGCACCUGGGGCGUGGACCCCGGCGCCCACACAGCGGAAGCGUCCCGAGGGAGGCCAGGGUGACGGUUUCUCCUGCCGAUCUCUCUCCAGGCAGGUCUCGCGUUUCCAGUCCCUUGCUUCUGUGAACCGAAGACAGACAGGGGUGAAAACAACUGUGAUGCUGGGGAUGUAGCUCAGUGGCACUGUGCCUGCCUGGCAAGUGCAAAGUCCCGAGUUCAAUUCCUGGUACUGGAAAAAAGGAAACAAAACAAAACAAAACAAAACCAAACCUGGCUGUGAUGUUGUGUUUCCAGUGAGUCUCUUCCAAUGUUUGUUUUUCAAAAAUACUUUUUCAUAAAUACUUUGUUCCACUUGGCAAUUGGUUUGUUAACUGGGUCACCAAGCUUCCACACCUGGGAAAAUAAGCUUUCUUGAUUUAGAAAUAUCAUUAAAUGGAACAUCAUCAAACACUGGAGAUGAUGGCUGCCUCUAUCCUUGUUUGUAAAGCUCUUUAAAAUAUAUCUUCUAGAAAAUCUUCUGUUCAUCAAGAAGGUUGAUUUGGAUCCACUGUGCAAUCUAACUCUACCAGCAAAGAGUACUUCUCACCAAAGACAGAGAGACCUGUGUGGGUAUGUGCAUGCGUGUGUGCGUGUGUGUGUGUGUGUGUGUGUGUGUGUGUGUGUUUGGUAACAGAUUUAAAUAUCAAGGGAAAUGAACUGGAAAGGCUCCGUGUUUUCUAAACAUCCUGCACAGCACUAUAUACAAAUUAGAUUGGUGCAGGCUUUCAGGGGCAAAAGUGGUCAAACAGGACUUUUAGUGUCUAACUUCUAGUCUUAACUGCUGCCCCACUCUGCUACUUACUAGAUGUAUGACUGUGGUAAGAAAUGGAAGCUUGCUGUGUCUUAGUUCCUGUGUCUGUAAAAGGAGAUAACAAUAUCUACAUCAGUGGAUGAUUUUGAGGUUUAAACAACAUAAUCAUGUAGUGUCUGCCCAAGCUUCUGGUUCACAAUAUUCAAUGAAUGAGAUUCAAGCUGAUAGUGGUGGAAGACAUGGGCCAUUGUUUGGACUUUCUGUGCAUUAUGACCUCAUACAAGACAUUUAACCUCUGUAUGUUAGUAAUCUUUUCCUUCUCUCAGAGGGAAAAAAAAGUAGCCUAAUAUUCAUUUAUUUGGACAUAUCACUAACAUAUAGACAGAGGUAACUUGUUAUAGUGUGAAAAGGCUUGAACAACAGUGGAUUGUGGUUCUAUUAGUUACUCGUCUGACAUUAGGCAACAUCUCUGAUUCUCAGUUUUCUUACUUAUAGAAUGGGAAUAAUAUGUAUCUGCAGAAUUAAGGCUCAAAUUUAAUGAAUUUGAGUGCACUAAAUGAAAGUGCACUAAAUUGCUAUUCAUAAAUGUAGUAAUUAUUAUUAAUGCCAUUCAAGAUUAUGUUCAUUUUCCUUACAGGCUUAUUUUGUUUUAAUAACUGUGUGUUUAGCCAGGUCUGGUGGGGCACGGCUGUAAUCCCAGCACCUUGGGAGGCUGAGUCAGGGGGAUCACAAUUUUAGGCCUAGUUUAGGCAACCUAGUGACUUCAUGAGACUCUAUCUAAAAAUAAAACAUAAAAGUUCUGGGGAUUUAGCUCAAUGUAAAGGCUCUGAAUUCAGUCUUCAGUACUGCAAAAUAAGUAAAUAAAUAAAGGGCUUUGGAUAUAGCUCAGUGCAAAGGCCCUGGGUUUAAUCUCCAGGAGAAACAAAACAAACAAACAAAAAACAGUGCGCUCAGAUUUAAGUUUUCACUUUCUUUUGGUUGUCUUGUCUUCUUAGAAUAUUUUAGUUAUGAUUUAUCCUAUGUUUAUAGAUUUUACUCAUUUUUUUUUUUUUUUUUUUUUACUGGGCAUCAAACUCAGGACCUUGAGUUUGUGAGGCAGACAGUGGCACCACUGAGCUAAAUCCCAUUUUAUUGGUAUCUUACAAACAAUAUUCCUUUUCUGUAAUAAAGAACACUAGAUGUAACAUUCAACCGUACACAGUACUUUUAAAAAAUACGGCUUUAAUGUUUUAAGAAGGAAAAAUAGCCUAUUUAAGAGCCAGGCAUGGUAGCACAGGCCUGUAAUCCCAGCACUCUGGGAGGCCGAGGCAGCAGUAUCAUAAUUCUGAGCCCAGUCUGGGCAAUAGAGUGAUUUAGUGAGACCCUGUUUCAAAAUAAAAUAUUUUUUAAAAGGGCUGGGGAUGUGAUUCAGUGAGAAGAACUUGGAUGUAAUCCCCAGUGCAGGGAAAAAAAAAAAUCAAGCCUAUUCAUUUUUUAAGGAUUUUUAAUUUUUAAAUUAAUACAUGUUUGUAGUACAUAAUGAUUACAUGCACCGUGGGGCAUUGGUACAUGUAUGUAACACAACUUAAUUCUUUUUACAUUCCCUUCCCUUCCCAUCCCUCCCGCCUCCCUCCUGGUUAACUUCCCAUGAAAAAAGUCUACUCAAAAAUGGCAGUCUGGACAGAUGAAGAGUAAGCAUAUCUGCCCUUGUUCCCCACCUUAAGGAGAAAGCAUUGUAUCUUCUCCAUUUAUAUAAGGUGUUCUCGCUGGAAGUAUGGAGUACAUGUCUUUAAUCUGUUGAGAAGGUUCUGUUCCACUUCUAGUCUCCUGAUAGCUUUUACCAUGAACAGCUGUAGAAUUUAGUCCAAUACUUUUUCUCCAACUAGUGACAGGAUCAUAUGACUUUUUCCUUUCCUCUGUUAAAAUGAUGACUUUUGGGGGUGGAUCUUCCAAUGCUGAACCAACAAUGCCAUCCCUAUAACAAAACCACUUUCUACAUCCUGCCAGAUCUGACUUCCAAUAGUUUGUUUUGUUAAACAAAUUUCUAUCUAUGUUCAUACUUUUUUCUUCUAUUAUCUUUAUCCAAUUUUAG